CUUUCAUGUGGUGGUGGGUGGUGGUUGGUAGAGGUCCAUCUCCAGAUUCCACCUCGUUCUCCUCGGGGCCAAACACACCGUUGCUGUGAGCUUUGGGGGGUUCAAUCUCUUAGACCCUGAUAGCUGUCCCGUCUCACCGAGAGUUCUUGGCAAUGCACUUAAAGGUUCCUAUAUCCUGUGGCUCCACCCUACGGAUCCUGAGCUUCAUGUAUACCUUAUAGGAGUUCUCGGUCACUAUAGGCUCG